rnacentral:rRNA from 2 species
UGCAGUCGACGCGUUGGCCCAAUUGAUUGAUGGUGCUUGCACCUGAUUGAUUUUGGUCGCCAACGAGUGGCGGACGGGUGAGUAACACGUAGGUAACCUGCCCAGAAGCGGGGGACAACAUUUGGAAACAGAUGCUAAUACCGCAUAACAACGUUGUUCGCAUGAACAACGCUUAAAAGAUGGCUUCUCGCUAUCACUUCUGGAUGGACCUGCGGUGCAUUAGCUUGUUGGUGGGGUAACGGCCUACCAAGGCGAUGAUGCAUAGCCGAGUUGAGAGACUGAUCGGCCACAAUGGGACUGAGACACGGCCCAUACUCCUACGGGAGGCAGCAGUAGGGAAUCUUCCACAAUGGGCGCAAGCCUGAUGGAGCAACACCGCGUGAGUGAAGAAGGGUUUCGGCUCGUAAAGCUCUGUUGUUAAAGAAGAACACGUAUGAGAGUAACUGUUCAUACGUUGACGGUAUUUAACCAGAAAGUCACGGCUAACUACGUGCCAGCAGCCGCGGUAAUACGUAGGUGGCAAGCGUUAUCCGGAUUUAUUGGGCGUAAAGAGAGUGCAGGCG